rnacentral:rRNA from 1 species
UACGGAGGGUGCAAGCGUUAAUCGGAAUUACUGGGCGUAAAGCGCACGCAGGUGGCUGAGUCAGUCGAUUGUGAAAGCCCUGGGCUUAACCUGGGAAUUGCAGUCGAUACUACUCAGCUCGAGUAUGGGAGAGGGUAGUGGAAUUCCCGGUGUAGCGGUGAAAUGCGUAGAUAUCGGAAGGAACACCAGUGGCGAAAGCGGCUUCCUGGUCCAGCACCGACGUUCAGGCACGAAAGCGUGGGGAGCAAACAGG